UGGGGCGGGGCCAGAAGAGCGGGCUAAGUGGCCGGAGGAGGUGGCGGCGGCUGGGAGAGGCGAGAGGUCUGGCCGAUUUUAGCUUCGAAACUGGGAGAAAUAGGAAUGGCUGUAGAGGAACUUCAGUCUAUAAUAAAGAGAUGUCAAAUCCUAGAAGAGCAAGACUUUAAAGAAGAAGAUUUUGGCCUAUUUCAGUUAGCUGGGCAAAGAUGCAUAGAAGAAGGGCACAUAGACCAGCUAUUAGAAAUUAUUCAAAAUGAAAAGAACAAGGUCAUCAUCAAGAAUAUGGGCUGGAAUCUCAUUGGUCCUGUUGUUCGAUGCCUUU